GGCGCUACACCAUCACCACCGCUGUGUGUCUGAUGGAGACGUGGAAAGGGAAGGCCCGCCCUCUUCUGUCCCAACCCACUUCCUGUCCCUGUGACAGGACGUCCUGAUUGGCUGUGUCCUGACUCGCCUCUUUGUGUUUCAGAGGGUGAUCCUGUCCAGCGCCGCGGAGAAGCCUCUGGAGCUCAGAGGGCCCUAUGACAUCACCAACCUGCAUCCUUCCUAUUGGUUCAGACACAAACUGUAGUCUUCAACAAAAACUACAGUACUACAGUACUCGUCUCCUCCACCUGUCGAUCUGUUGUUCCACACACAGAAACCAGGAAGACGGCGAGCGGGAUCGUCUACACCGUGAAGAGCUGCAGCCAUUGGCCGCCUGCAGACUGUGAAGCUCCCGCAGCCAAGAGAGCCAAUCAGCUGACGGAGGGACAGACAGCCGAGGAGGGCGGGGCUUCUGGAC